GCCAGGCGUGGUGGUGCAUGCCUGUAGUCUCAGCUACUCGGGAGGCUGAGGCAGAAGAAUUGCUUGAACCCGGGAGACAGAGGUUGCAGUGAGCCGAGAUCGCGCCACUGCACUCUAGCCUGGGCAACAGAGCAAGACUCUGUCUCAA
rnacentral:SRP_RNA from 1 species